rnacentral:rRNA from 1 species
GACGAACGCUGGCGGCGUGCUUAACACAUGCAAGUCGAACGGAAAGGCCCUGCUUGCAGGGUGCUCGAGUGGCGAACGGGUGAGUAACACGCGGGUGAUCUGCCCCUUACUUUGGGAUAAGCCUGGGAAACUGGGUCUAAUACUGGAUAGGACCAUGCUGUAGGUGGUGUGGUGGAAAGAUUAGUUUCGGUAAGGGAUGAGCUCGCGGCCUAUCAGCUUGUUGGUGGGGUAAUGGCCUACCAAGGCGUCGACGGGUAGCCGGCCUGAGAGGGUGGACGGCCACAUUGGGACUGAGAUACGGCCCAGACUCCUACGGGAGGCAGCAGUGGGGAAUAUUGCACAAUGGGCGCAAGCCUGAUGCAGCGACGCCGCGUGGGGGAUGACGGCCUUCGGGUUGUAAACUCCUUUCAGCCAUGACGAAGCCCUUGUGGUGACGGUAGUGGUAGAAGAAGCACCGGCUAACUACGUG